rnacentral:pre_miRNA from 9 species
UCUCGUUGGCGUAAAAGUUAACUUAAUUUUGUAUGGAGUUGGAGCGUUUGCCUAUGUUAGCCGUCAGGGGCGCUGUUCCAACUCCAUACAAAUUUGAGUUAACUUUUACGCGAUCGA